GAUGAAGAACGCAGCGAAAUGCGAUAAGUAAUGUGAAUUGCAGAAUUCAGUGAAUCAUCGAAUCUUUGAACGCACAGUGCGCCCCCCAGUAUUCUGGCGGGCAUGCCUGUUCGAGCGUCAUUUCAACCAUCAAGCCCUGCUUGUGUUGGGGUCCUGCGGCUGCCCGCAGGCCCUGAAAACCAGUGGCGGGCUCGCUAGUCACACCGAGCGCAGUAGCACAUCUCGCUCAGGGCGUGCGGCGGGCUCCAGCCGUUAAAGCACCCACCUUUCGCAAGGUUGACCUCGGAUCAGGUAGGAAUACCCGCUGAACUUAAGCAUAUCAAUAAGCGGAGGA
rnacentral:misc_RNA from 1 species